ensembl:lncRNA
UUGACUGCGGUCUUACUGAGACUAUGGUUGCAUACCUUUUCCAAGGAUCCUUCAAAAAGCAGGUUAAAUUCAACCAAUUUGUGUCAAGGAUGAAGGAAUCUUCAGUGACGCUGACUCUACAGACUGUCUCUCCAGAAGACUGGCAACCAUCUACUUCGUCAACUUCAAUAAGCAAUGAAAAUACUUUGAGACUGCCAGCCUCUUUUGAAAUUCCAAGAUUUCCCAAAAAUCUGCAACUAAAACUGGACAACAAAGAACCGUGCCAUAAAAAUCCAAGGGACAGACACACAAUAAUCAGAGUUCUAUAUGAAGCUGUGGCACAGUAUACUAUGUAUCCCACAAAUUCUGAAUAUGUGCAAGCUGUGAAGACGCUGGUAAUGAAGUAUCCUUUCCUCAAGGAUCGUGAGGGAAAUGGUUAUGGACCAUGCGUCCAAGGAGAGGAUUUAUUAUCCAUAGACGCCCACUUAAAGGUCUUACAGUGCCAAUAUCAGAAGAUGCAACCAGAUACCAUGGUGGUUCAUAACCGUAUGCAGCAAAUGUUUGCUUGGCGGCAAAAAGAAAUUGCAGAUGGUAUGCCUGUGGAGGAUGUGUUGAAGAAGUACCCCUUCUUAGGGAUGCCUACUGGUCUGUGCAACGAACUCGGGUGGAUCCAACCAACAACGGGUAAUGUAAGCCAGCGAUUUCGUGAAGGGCUCUCAUGUGUUGCAGCAAAGGUGAUUGACCUUACACGAGGAAAACCCCACUCUACCAGCUCUACCUUGAUGCAAGAGAGGAGGCUCUCACUGAUGACCUACCAGAUCUUGACACAAGGGCUGCACUUUUAUUCCUGCC